AGAAGAAGGCUGCCUGUGCUCAAAAGUGGUUGUGGAUCCCAUAGGUGCUAACAUCUGGAGGCUGUCAGUUCUAUUUAUUUUAACAUAUCAAGAGAAGUUAUAUUUCAUUUUACAGAAGAAAAUUAUAUCAGAAAGAUUUCUCUCACUAGAAACAAACAAUGAAGGAAGGGCUCACGAAUCUGGAAAGUUCAAAGUUGGUUGACCAGCUUACCUUUGUCAUGAUGGACCCACUUUACCAGUUGUUUUCGAUCUCUCCAUUCUGUCAAUUAUGGUGUACCCCUAACUCUGAAACUGGCUCCUUUAAUGGAUAUGAGAUAUACUUUCUUUUUCCUGUACAAGGAUACAAGCUUUUUGAUUGGUGCCACCCGCCCCCAGAGUGGGUCUUCACUCUUUGGUCCCUGUUCGGGCGCCACCCGUGACGGAGCCCGCCCGUCACUUGUCGAACAGUACCUGAAUGGGAGAGUGAGGAUGAAGAAAAAUAAAGACAAAGAGAUAGAGUCAGGAGGGCUCCCAGAGACCGAGUGCCCAAGUUUUUCUCCUCUCUUUUCUACAACAGGUGAGUUUGCUUGUUAAUCAUGACCCUCAUCCAGAGACACCUGCUUCCUUGUUUUCUAGUUCUUUGGAAAUUCCCCGCCCUCAUGGGCUUCCUUGUUUCUCGGGGUUACAGAACAUUCAUCACGUUCCAGGGCAAUCUAAUUCGGCAAGGAUGCGGUUCCUCAUAACAUAGUCUCCUUGCUCUAUACAAUGGAGGGUAAGAUUCAAAAUGGAGCCUCUUUGUCUAACACCGCUCUCCACAAUUAAGAUGAAAAAAUACUGCCAAUCUGCACAUAUGAUGCUUUCUUCUUACAUGAACUGUGAGG
rnacentral:lncRNA from 1 species